rnacentral:rRNA from 1 species
GGGGGGGGGGGGGGGGGGGGGGGGGGGGGGGGGGGCGGGGGGGGGGGCGGGGGGGGGGGGGGGGGCUGGCGGGGGGCGGGUGGGUGACACGGGGGCAACCUGCCCUCGGCUCGGGGAUAGCUCCGGGAAACCGGGGCUAAUACCGGGUACGACCUCCACGGGCAUCUGCGGAGGUGGAAAGUUUUUCGGCUGAGGAUGGGCCCGCGGCCUGUCAGCUAGUUGGUGGGGUAGUGGCCCACCAAGGCGACGACGGGUAGCCGGCCUGAGAGGGCGACCGGCCACACUGGGACUGAGACACGGCCCAGACUCCUACGGGAGGCAGCAGUGGGGAAUAUUGCGCAAUGGGCGAAAGCCUGACGCAGCGACGCCGCGUGAGGGACGAAGGCCUUCGGGUUGUAAACCUCUUUCAGCAGGGACGAAGCGAAAGUGACGGUACCUGCAGAAGAAGCACCGGCCAACUACGUG